rnacentral:lncRNA from 1 species
UCCCUAUUCUUUCCCAUUCCUUCGAUACAUCAAUCAAAAUUAUCAAAAUCAUUAGUCUUUUCAUCUUUUCUUCUACUGCAAGGGGUAGUAGAGGUGAGGAGGCCAAUCAAAAUCAUCAUUUAUAAUGGUCUUUCCCUUUGUUGAUAGGUUUUCGGCAAUCCAAAAUCUAUGGUUAUUAUUAAUCUAUAUCUUAUCAUUAAAUAUACUCUCCAAAGUCGAGCAUUGUCCAUUUUGACUGUUUCUAUAAUAGCUCGACCUCUUUCCUAUUGUUUAUGGUGUCCGGUUCAUUAGGGACAUCUAGGACACCCACUUGGUCUCUCUUUUGGAGGUUAGCUAUUUUUGAUCCCUUUUCAAAAGAGAGGACAAAAAAAGGUUUAUUUAGCAUUGCUAGAGCAAAGAGAGAUGCCAUCUCAUAUGAUUGAACACAAAAGAUAUCUUCUUUUCAUCUUAGCCAACACAACAUUGCAGACUCCUAUCCAAAUAUUUGAAUCACGACUAGAAUUUCAGUCAACUGGUCAAAAUCAUCUUGUAAAUUUCAUUGGUCUAACCAUGAUUAAUAGGUCAAUAUUGGUCUAAAUCAUUUUUCCAAUGUGCCAUCUCUUGUUCUUACACAGGCAAAUGGAAGAGUUAUUAUACAAAUAAAAAGCUUGAUGAGUGAAGAAAGCAGAGAUUUUAUUUCAUACCGAGCACAUAAAGUUUUAUUUUCUUUCUCAA